AGAACGAACGCUGGCGGCAUGCCUAAUACAUGCAAGUCGAACGAACUCUUCGGAGUUAGUGGCGCACGGGUGCGUAACGCGUGGGAAUCUGCCCCUUGGUUCGGAAUAACAGUUGGAAACGACUGCUAAUACCGGAUGAUGACGAAAGUCCAAAGAUUUAUCGCCGAGGGAUGAGCCCGCGUAGGAUUAGCUAGUUGGUGAGGUAAAGGCUCACCAAGGCAACGAUCCUUAGCUGGUCUGAGAGGAUGAUCAGCCACACUGGGACUGAGACACGGCCCAGACUCCUACGGGAGGCAGCAGUAGGAAUAUUGGACAAUGGGCGAAAGCCUGAUCCAGCAAUGCCGCGCGAGUGAUGAAGGCCGUUAGGGUUGUAAAGC
rnacentral:rRNA from 1 species